UCACUCUUGUUUCUUUUCAGAUCGUAUAAAUCUUUCGCCUUUUACUAAAGAUUUCCGUGGAGAGGAACAUUAUGAGUAUCAACUACUUUUUUGACGCCCUGCGUUAAAGCAGGGCC
rnacentral:snRNA from 1 species